CCUACGGGAGGCUGCAGUGAGGAAUAUUGGUCAAUGGGCGCGAGCCUGAACCAGCCAAGUAGCGUGAAGGAUGACUGCCCUAUGGGUUGUAAACCUCUUUUAUAAAGGAAUAAAGUGAGGCACGUGUGCCUUUUUGCAUGUACUUUAUGAAUAAGGAUCGGCUAACUCCGUGCCAGCAGCCGCGGUAAUACGGAGGAUCCGAGCGUUAUCCGGAUUUAUUGGGUUUAAAGGGAGCGUAGAUGGGUUGUUAAGUCAGUUGUGAAAGUUUGCGGCUCAACCGUAAAAUUGCAAUUGAUACUGGCAGUCUUGAGUACAGUUGAGGUAGGCGGAAUUCGUGGUGUAGCGGUGAAAUGCAUAGAUAUCACGAAGAACUCCGAUUGCGAAGGCAGCUUACUAAACUGCCACUGACAUUGAUGCUCGAAAGUGUGGGUAUCGAACAGGAUUAGAUACCCCGGUAGUC
rnacentral:rRNA from 1 species